AUACGGGGUGUGCAAGCGUUAAUCGGAAUUACUGGGCGUAAAGCGCGCGGAGGCGGUUUGCUCAGUCGGAUGUGAAAGCCCAGGGCUCAACCUUGGAACUGCAUACGAUACUGGCAAACUAGAGUGUGAGAGAGGAUAGUGGAAUUUCCGGUGUAGCGGUGAAAUGCGUAGAUAUCGGAAGGAACAUCAGUGGCGAAGGCGACUGUCUGGCUCAACACUGACGCUGAGGUGCGAAAGCGUGGGUAGCAAACAGGAUUAGAAACCCUAGUAGUCC
rnacentral:rRNA from 1 species